AUUUGGCGGUGCGCAGGCGCAGUUGCUGCGGCUCCUGAAAUCCUCCGGUGUGAACUCCCAGGGCUGUUGAUGCUUCAUCUACUCUUCUGGCAGUGGGGGCCUGGACCUUAGUUACCCGGGGAGCGUGAGUCAUGUUGCACAGUUGAGCUGGCACAUAAAACUGCGAGUCACACCAGAAGAGGGCAUUGGAUCCCACUAUAGACUGUUGUGAGCCACCUUGUAGUUGCUGGGAAUUGAACUCAGAAACUCUGGAAGAGCAGUUGAUGCUCUUAACUGCUGAGUCAUCUCUCCAGCCCCAGUUUAUAGAACAAGGAAUUGGAGCUUGGAGAAGAUUGAUGGACCACUCAAGUUCCCUGGAUGGUCCAGGAUUCAGACUGAGGAUGGCC
rnacentral:lncRNA from 1 species